rnacentral:rRNA from 1 species
UACAGAGGGUGCGAGCGUUAAUCGGAAUUACUGGGCGUAAAGCGCGCGUAGGCGGCUUUGCAAGUCGGAUGUGAAAUCCCCAGGCUCAACCUGGGAACUGCAUUCGAGACUGCAUUGCUAGAGUAUGGGAGAGGGAAGUGGAAUUUCCGGUGUAGCGGUGAAAUGCGUAGAUAUCGGAAGGAACAUCAGUGGCGAAAGCGACUUCCUGGACCAAUACUGACGCUCAUGUGCGAAAGCGUGGGGAGCAAACAGG